UACGAAGGGGGCUAGCGUUGCUCGGAAUUACUGGGCGUAAAGGGUGCGUAGGCGGACAGUUUAGUCGGGGGUGAAAGCCCGGGGCUCAACCUCGGAAUUGCCUUCGAUACUGGCUGUCUUGAGUACGGGAGAGGUGUGUGGAACUCCGAGUGUAGAGGUGAAAUUCGUAGAUAUUCGCAAGAACACCAGUGGCGAAGGCGGCUCACUGGCCCGGUACUGACGCUGAGGUGCGAAAGCGUGGGGAGCAAACAGG
rnacentral:rRNA from 1 species